AAGGGUACUGUACUAAACUAACUAAAGUGGGGGAUAGUGAGGGGAUAAAUUUUCUUAAGGAACUCGGCAAAAUCCCAAUGGCCCACCAGGGCAUAUUGGAACACGGGCCUCGACUGUUUACCAAAAACAUAGCCCUCGGCUAAUAUGAAAAUAGAUKUAUAGAGGGKGAUGCCUGCCCAAUGGUUGUAUCUAAAAGCGGUUGAUAAAAGUCGACCUCGUAAGGACAAUUGAAUGGCCGCGGUAACACUGACCGUGAUAAUGUAGCGUAAUCAAUAGCCAAUUAAUUGUUGGCCAGUAUGAAUGGCGCCACGAAGGCCCCACUGUCUUAAGGAAAUUCCCAGUGAAAUUGAAUUCGUAGUGAAGAUGCUACGUGCAAUUUGUUAGACGAAAAGACCCCGUUGAGCUUUACUGGAGCACUUACAUGGCCCUGGCCUUCCCAUGCUUGGGAAUCGGCCGAAUUUAAAUGGGCGGCUUAGAUUAUGUGGCAGCCCCCCGCUGGGGCAAAUGAAACCCCACUCCCCCAUGUCAAAGGGGCUAACCCCCCCCCUUGGGGGGACAGUGUAAGUAGGACAGUUUGGUUGGGGCGACCGCCUUUUAAAGAGUAACGAAGGUGCGCUUAAGGUGCGCAAUUAAUGACUGAAGCCUGAUUGCGAGGGGGACACCCCGAGCAGACACCCCAAAGCCCGCCCGAAGGGCGGCGGUGGGGUGGGCCAUAGUGACCCGUUAAUUUAGAGUGGAAUAGUUAACGAUCAACGAAUAAAAGUUACCACGGGGAUAACAGCGUAAUAUCGUUAGAGAGUUCACAUCGACGACGAUG
rnacentral:rRNA from 1 species